UGCAUCGGCGGGGAAUCGAACCCGGGCCGCCCGCGUGGCAGGUUAGCAUUCUACCACUGAACCACCGAUGG
rnacentral:tRNA from 1 species